rnacentral:rRNA from 1 species
UAAGCGCGAGGUGAAAUUUUCAGGGCUCAACCCUGAAACUGGCUCGCGAACUGUAAAGCUAGAGUAUAUGAGGGGAAGCUGGAAUUCCUGAUGUAGGAGUGGAAUCCGUAGAUAUCAGGAGGAACACCAAUGGCGUAGGCAGGCUUCUGGCAUAUUACUGACGCUAAGGCACGAAAGCGUGGGGAGCGAACGGGAUUAGAUACCCCGGUAGUCCACGCCGUAAACGAUGGAUGCUA